rnacentral:rRNA from 1 species
GUGAAGGCCCCGGGCUCAACUUGGGAACUGCAUUUCGAACUGGCAAACUAGAGUGUGAUAGAGGGUGGUAGAAUUUCAGGUGUAGCGGUGAAAUGCGUAGAGAUCUGAAGGAAUACCGAUGGCGAAGGCAGCCACCUGGGUCAACACUGACGCUCAUGUACGAAAGCGUGGGGAGCAAACAGGAUUAGAUACCCUGGUAGUCCACGCCGUAAACGAUGUCUACUAGAAGCUCGGAACCUCGGUUCUGUUUUUCAAANUAACGCAUUAAGUAGACCGCCUGGGGAGUACGGCCGCAAGGUUAAAACUCAAAUGAAUUGACGGGGGCCGCACAAGCGGUGGAGCAUGUGGUUUAAUUCGAUGCAACGCGAAGAACCUUACCUACACUU